GAACAUGAGAAGUAAAACUAUAAUGAGGAGGAAGCUCAGGACAUCCAGGCUGUGGUACUGGUACCAGCAUCUCUGGAAACAGAAACUGCAGGUCUUGAUGAAGAUGAACAUGAGAAGUAAAACUGUAAUGAGGAGGAAGCUCAGGACAUCCAGGCUGUGGUACUGGUACCAGCAUCUCUGGAAACAGAAACUGCAGGUCUUGAUGAAGAUGAACAUGAGAAGUAAAACUAUAG